rnacentral:rRNA from 1 species
CAGCAGCCGCGGUAAAACGAAGGGUGCAAGCGUUAAUCGGAAUUACUGGGCGUAAAGCGUGCGUAGGCGGUUUGUUAAGUCUGUUGUGGAAUCCCCGGGCUCAACCUGGGAAUGGCAAUGGAUACUGGCAAGCUAGAGUGUGUCAGAGGAUGGUGGAAUUCCCGGUGUAGCGGUGAAAUGCGUAGAGAUCGGGAGGAACAUCAGUGGCGAAGGCGGCCAUCUGGGACAACACUGACGCUGAGGCACGAAAGCGUGGGGAGCAAACAGGAUUAGAUACCCCCGUAGUCCCUGUCUCUUAUAC